UCCUCCCCGCCCCUCUUGCUUCCUCCACAGCAGCGCCCGCCCCUCUCCCCCGCUAUCUCCCCCAUCCCCAUCUCUCCUCCCCCAGCCGCCGCACUCUAUCUCCCUCCCUCCUCCCUCCCCGAGACAGCGGCCGAGCGCCCCUCCUCCCUCCUCGAGCCAGCGGCCCAGCGCCCCUCCUUCUCCCUCGCAUGCGCCACCUCCCAAGGCGCCAGGAGAAGCAGCAGUGUUCCAAGGCGCCCGGAUCUCUCGCCAUGGAGCGCCGCCGUGAAGAGGAGCCGCCGCCCCCGAGCCCGCUGCCGGAUCCGCCUCCGUCAACCUAGAUCUCGGCGAUGCGUUUUUGCUGGAAUUCGGGAUUUGUUGACUAUGGAUGUACUUGUGUUGUGAAUGUAUAUUACAUGAUGCAUUUGUGUAUUGUUGUGUAUUGCCGCUGAUUCUGGUGCGGGCUCCGGGCGUGCUUUUUUUUUAUUUUGGCAAAACCACAUCAUUGUCGGUUGUAACAUGUGACCGCCACUGAUGAUGGCAUCAUCAGUAACGGCUGGAGCGAACGAUGUUUUAUAAACUUUUUUGUAGUAGUGGUAUAUAUGUAUUUAGACAGUA